GCGGAGGACAUGUGGUUUAUUCGAUGCAACGCGAAGAACCUUACCUACUCUUGACAUCCAGAGAACUUUCCAGAGAUGGAUUGGUGCCUUCGGGAACUCUGAGACAGGUGCUGCAUGGCUGUCGUCAGCUCGUGUUGUGAAAUGUUGGGUUAAGUCCCGCAACGAGCGCAACCCUUAUCCUUGUUUGCCAGCGAGUAAUGUCGGGAACUCCAGGGAGACUGCCGGUGAUAAACCGGAGGAAGGUGGGGACGACGUCAAGUCAUCAUGGCCCUUACGAGUAGGGCUACACACGUGCUACAAUGGCGCAUACAGAGGGCGGCCAACUUGCGAAAGUGAGCGAAUCCCAAAAAGUGCGUCGUAGUCCGGAUUGGAGUCUGCAACUCGACUCCAUGAAGUCGGAAUCGCUAGUAAUCGUGGAUCAGAAUGCCACGGUGAAUACGUUCCCGGGCCUUGUACACACCGGCCCGU
rnacentral:rRNA from 1 species